UCCCACAUAGCUCAGUUGGUAGAGCGCGUCACUAGUAUUGAUAGGGCAUUCGAACCGUCAAACCGAAUGACGAGGUCAGUCGUUCAAAUCGGCUUGUGGGAA